rnacentral:piRNA from 1 species
UGCCAUUGUAGUGAAUGGUUCCUUCCUGAGC